rnacentral:rRNA from 1 species
UGGGGGAUAUUGCACAAUGGGCGAAAGCCUGAUGCAGCGACGCCGCGUGGGGGAUGAAGGCUUUCGGGUUGUAAACCUCUUUCGCUAUCGAACAAGGCCCGCUUAGGGUGGGUUGAGGGUAGGUGGAGAAGAAGCGCCGGCUAACUACGUGCCAGCAGCCGCGGUAAUACGUAGGGCGCGAGCGUUGUCCGGAAUUAUUGGGCGUAAAGGGCUUGUAGGCGGCUUGUUGCGCCUGCUGUGAAAACGCGGGGCUUAACUUCGCGCGUGCAGUGGGUACGGGCUGGCUUGAGUGUGGUAGGGGUGACUGGAAUUCCAGGUGUAGCGGUGGAAUGCGCAGAUAUCUGGAGGAACACCGAUGGCGAAGGCAGGUCACUGGGCCAUUACUGACGCUGAGGAGCGAAAGCAUGGGUAGCGAACAGG